GUUAUGCCUGCCACAGAUGUUGCUUGCCUUCAACACCUGCAUGAUGGCUAGAAAUGCAACAGCUAAUAUCUCCCUCCAGUAAAAGGCUGUCCUUAAAAUGGCUGGGAAACCAAAGCUUCACUAUAUUUGUGGAAAAGGGAAAAUGGAAUCCAUCUGCUGGCUGCAGCUGGAAUUGAGGAGCAUUAAGUCUGUAUGAGAAGGGAGAUAAACAUCCAGUUCUGCUCCAUUGCUCUGUUUCAGUUUGAAGAACAAUUUAUAGAAACAAAGGAAGAUCUGGAAAAACUACGCAACGAUGGAUGGCUGCUCUUCCAGCAAGUGCCCAUGGUGGAAAUUGAAGGGAUGAAGAUGGUGCAGACUUCAGCCAUUCUCAGUUACAUUGCGGCAAAAUGCAACCUCUACGGGAAGGACAUCAAGGAGAGAGCCUUCUACUGUGUCAUCAUGGCAGCUUUAAAAGUUCAUGGAUGCGAUUUCCUUGUUGGCAACCAGUUUAGCUUGGCAGAUGUACAUCUGCUUCAAGCCAUUCUAAUGAGAGAAGAACAGAAGCCUGACAAACUCUUUCAAAACCCGUGAAAAUGCUAAUACGCAAAGUUUUCCAGGUUUCUGAGUGUUUGGAAGUGAUUUAUUCUUCUGGGGGCACCCAGGGACUCUGCAGCUUACCCAAGGCCACCCAGGCUGGCUUUCCUCCCAGGGGGCACACAGAGGAAUUGAACCUCUGGCUCUGCAGCCAGAUACCUAAACCACCGAGCUAUACCCCAUUCACUAUAUCUUCACAUGUACUACAUCUUAGGAAUAAAGCAGCAGCUACAUCCAAUACAUCCAUUUGUUAUUGUUAGUAGGCCUUAAAUGAUUUUUAUAAAAUUUUUGAUUAUCCCUUGCCUAUGGCAUUGCUAUGUUCGCUCACUGCAUUUGUUAUCAUGUAACAGUGUAAUGCUGAAAU